rnacentral:rRNA from 1 species
CUUCCGUANNNNNNCCUGCGGAAGGAUCAUUAAAGAAUCGCCCCGUUUUUUGAAAUGGGUUCUAUUCCCAAACCGUGUAUACAUACCUUUGUUGCUUUGGCAGGCCGCCUUCUAGGCGUCGGCUCCGGCUGACUGCGCCUGCCAGAGGACCCAAACUCUUUUGUUUAGUGAUGUCUGAGUACUAUAUAAUAGUUAAAACUUUCAACAACGGAUCUCUUGGUUCUGGCAUCGAUGAAGAACGCAGCGAAAUGCGAUAAGUAAUGUGAAUUGCAGAAUUCAGUGAAUCAUCGAAUCUUUGAACGCACAUUGCGCCCCUUGGUAUUCCGAGGGGCAUGCCUGUUCGAGCGUCAUUAUAACCACUCAAGCCUCGGCUUGGUCUUGGGGUUCGCGGUUUCGCGGCCCUUAAAAUCAGUGGCGGUGCCGUCUGGCUCUAAGCGUAGUAAUUCUCUCGCUAUAGGGUCCAGGUGNNCAUUUGCCAUAACCCCCCNU